GCGUGAGUGAAGAAGGCCUUAGGGUUGUAAAGCUCUUUCGCUAGGGAAGAUAAUGACGGUACCUAGUAAAGAAGUCCCGGCUAACUCCGUGCCAGCAGCCGCGGUAAUACGGAGGGGACUAGCGUUGUUCGGAAUUACUGGGCGUAAAGAGUACGUAGGCGGCUACGCAAGUUGGGUGUGAAAGCCCGGGGCUCAACCCCGGAACUGCACUCAAAACUGUUUAGCUAGAGUUCGGAAGAGGUAAGUGGAAUUCCCAGUGUAGAGGUGAAAUUCGU
rnacentral:rRNA from 1 species